rnacentral:rRNA from 1 species
AGCAGUCGCGGUAAUACGUAGGAUGCAAGCGUUAUCCGGAUUUAUUGGGCGUAAGAAGUAUGUAGGCGGUUAUUAAAGUCUGCAGUGAAAUCUCUAGGCUUAACUUAGAAACUGCCGCGGAUACUUAAUUUCUGGAGAGUAGUGGAGGAGAAUGGAAUUCUCGGUGUAGCGGUAAAAUGUGUUGAUAUCGAGAGGAACACCAGAGGCGAAAGCGAUUCUCUAUACUGACUCUGACGCUGAGAUACGAAAGCUAGGGUAGCGAAAGGGAUUAGAGACCCCUGUAGUCCUAGCCGUAAACGAUGAAUGCUAGAUGUCAGAGGUAUCGACCCCUCUGGUGUCGCAGUUAACGCGUUAAGCAUUCUGCCUGGGGAGUACGGCCGCAAGGCUAAAACUCAAAGGAAUUGACGGGGACCCGCACAAGCAGCGGAGCGUGUGGUUUAAUUCGAUGAUGCACGAAGAAUCUCACCAAGGCUUGACAUAUAAGUGGUAGUGAAGUGAAAGCGGAACGACCCUUCGGGGAGCUUAUACAGGUGCUGCAUGGCUGUCGUCAGCUCGUGCCGUGAGGUGUAUGGUUAAGUCCCAUAACGAGCGCAACCCCUGUGGUAUGUUAUAUCUUUCAUGCCAAACUGCCAAGGUUAACUUGGGGGAAGGUGGGGAUGACGUCAAGUCAGCAUGGCCUUUAUGUCUUGGGCUACACACACGCUACAAUGGCUAGUACAAUGGGUUUGCCAAGCCGUGAGGUGGAGCUAAUCUUAUCAAAGCUAGCCUCAGUUCAGAUUGGAGUCUGAAACUCGACUCCAUGAAGUUG